rnacentral:rRNA from 1 species
UACGGAGGGUGCGAGCGUUGCUCGGAAUUACUGGGCGUAAAGGGCGCGUAGGCGGGAUGGCAAGUCGGUCGUGAAAUCCCUCGGCUCAACUGAGGAUCGUCGAUCGAUACUGCCGUUCUUGAGGAUUGCAGAGGAGACUGGAAUUCCCGGUGUAGCGGUGAAAUGUGUAGAGAUCGGGAGGAACACCGGUGGCGAAGGCGGGUCUCUGGGCAAUUCCUGACGCUGAGGCGCGAAAGCGUGGGGAGCAAACGGG